rnacentral:piRNA from 1 species
UGAAGGGAGCUGAGAGGGAGCCUGUAUGUG